GGUUGCUGCAGGCGGAGGACCUGUGGCCUCGUGGUGAUGAGUACAAGGGGGCGGGUGGAGGAGACAUUUACGAGCUGGAAUCAGUGGGGUUUUGAAGGAUUGAUGGGAUGCGAGGCUGGUGAGGACUGCAGAAGGCAUCGGGUUUUGACUUGAGCAACUCCCGCUGGCAGCCAUCCUGAGGAAGAGCUCUGUGCAACCCGGGUGAGGAGCAGCCAGACAGUCACUGCGGGGACCCCUCAGAGUGCCGAGGUGGCCUGGGCUCCUGCUUUCACAGAGCAAAGAGUGCAAAGAGAAGGUCCGCUUUUGGAAAGUUUCUCCUUCAGCAAACACCUAACUAUUGCCGACUUCACUAAGUCCCACUGGGCUUUUCACAGUUGUGGGCCACGUCAGCCCCACCCUUGAAGACCACAAACCCUAAGAAUUUAAGAGCUUUUGGAAACAGCAACCUCAUGGCAUUCCUGAGAAAAAGAUGUCAUACAUGCACUCCAAAAAGUAUACCAACUCAUGCAGACUCUAGAUAUUUUGCAAGACAAGAAGUUUAAUGUAGAAAACAUCGUGAUAGGCUUAGAAGAUUCCACACACCCACAUUCUUAUAAAAAGCUUGUGUGCUAGAAACGAGACAAAACAAGACAGAGCCACUCUUCAGGUAAUGCUCUACUUUCAGUUUCCUGUCUCAUAAAUUUUCUUUCCUUAAAGUUUCAAGGACCCUGAAUUUGCUAGCCUUUUAUUAAAUAUUUACUACAGAUAUGCUGAUAAUGUGAAUUUAUUAUUGGAUUUUACUUGUUCUCACAUUAAAACCCCUAUACUUUUUACGAGUUCAAGUAGCAUACUACUUCAGAUAACACAUCACAAAUCUUUAGCAAGUUAUGGAAAUGGAGAGGGCAUCAAAUUAUUUCAGAAGUAGUGUUUCUUUUGCCUGUAAUGAGAUGUUUCUUCCUUCAUUUUCAGGGAGAAAAAAGAGGAUGAUUUGCUAAGAAAUAAUAGACUGAACACAAGUGAACAAGAGCCAGGAAGAUGAAUUGAAUUUUGCUCAAGGUCAGGCAAACCCCUGAGAAAUCUGUGAGUUCUGCCUUUGGAGAACAGAUCCACCCUCCCCUACCAGGCCAUCAGGUGAGGUGACACGUUCAGCUUGGCCUCAGGCUAAAACCGUAACAAACAGUGCCAUCUACUGACUGUCUUCUACCAC
rnacentral:lncRNA from 1 species